GGAGAGAUGGCCGAGGGGUCUAAGGCGCUCGCCUGCUAAGCGAGUGAACGGGCUUAAACCUGUUCCGCGGGUUCAAAUCCCGCUCUCUCCG
rnacentral:tRNA from 1 species